CUGCGCUAACGGCUCCCGGGGCGGGCGGGGGCCAGGGCGGCCGCCGCCCUGCCCCUCACGGCAGCGCCUUGUCCCUGAGGUAGGGGCCUCCCGGCCGGGCUGCCCCCGCCCCAGGGGAGCCCCGGCGGGGUCAGCCCCGGUACCUCGGGCGGGGAAACUGCGCUAAAUAAGGCGGCGGCGGCGAGGGGGCCCCGGCCUCGGCUUCCCCGGGGCUGGGCGCCGGCUGCGUGAGGCGGGGAGAGCCGGCUUGGGGGGGGUUUAUCACGGGUCGGCUAGCUUCGUCCUUAGCGCUUCUGCUUUUUUCCCCUCCAGUCGUUCCUGCAGGGAAAGGACGAGCGUACUUGUCAGGACGGUGAGAACGGGUUUCCUCUCUGCCAAGGGCGGGACGCGAGUAUUGGAACCGGCGCUCGCGUCACUUCGAGGGCACAGAACAAUGGAUUUUCCUUCAUUGGCUUUGGUUUUUUGUCAUAAACAUCAUUGAUAAUGCUAGUGUCAGCACAGUUCUGGGAAGUACAACUUAAUUAGUUAAACUGCUGGCUGGGUAACUACCUUUGCAGCAGCCAAGUAAACAUACUGGAAGAUGAGAAUGAUCAGUGGGCUGAUACUUAUUUUUAAAACAUUCUCAGUUGAAUAGGUUACUUCAAAUGUAGAACAGAAUACUCCCAAACCAACACAAAACAUUUUCAAGGUAGCAGUUGAUUGUUGUGUCUCUGAAUUACUGAGCAAGCAGUUCUGAUUUUGUUGUUGUUGAAGACCAUACCAAAUAGAUAAGAGGAGGACUCUGAAGUAGUGAACUUACCUCUGAGCAUUAUGAGGGCAGCAGCAUUUACACACCUCUCGAUGCCUUAUUUUUGCAGCCUUUCAUGUUCAGAGCAUCUAGAUGCAUGUGUCUGGCAGAUAUGGCUGACAUUCAGUCAUUGGCUCUCAAUACAUACUGAUUUCUUACAUGGUUUGUUCCAGUUGUCCAAUCCAAAAUGCAUUCCAUCUCUCUUUUUCUGAGGUCAAUGGUCUGUAAUGCUAGAGGCCCAGAUUCCCUUCCUGGCUGUGGCAUAAAGCAAGUCAUGUCUCUGACUAUGGAUCGUCUUGUCUAUCUCAUUUAUUUCCCCCAUCAGUGUUCUGUUCUGAGUAAAUAAACUGUAAAAUAAGUUUGUCUUACUUGAGUAACAUUUCAUAAAUCAUACUUGGAUGUGUUAAGUAGAAAAAAAAGUUAUUCAUUUUACAUAGAAAAUUGCACCUGUAAGUGGAAAUGAAGGGGUUUCUCAGAAAACAAGCAGCACUUUAAUUAUUUAAUUUUGGCAAUACCCUUGUGUUACAGGCAAGUGUUAUUGAACAGAACAGAUGAAUAAACCACGGAAGGAUGAGUGUAAGCCAUUCAUUUGUAUGUGAAACCAAAGUCAUUCAGAAUCUAAAUGACAUCAAAAGUCCAAGUGAUGAUCAGAAGUAUUUUUGACAGUAUACUAUAGGGAGCCAAAAUAACACAGCAAAUGGUUUAACAAAUUGACUGACUAGGUCCUUUCAUCUCCAGCUUCUGUGAUUUUAUAUUUGAGCCCUUCUGUUGGCUGAAGAUGGUCAAAAGCAAUGGGCAAUUGAGUAUUAAGUGUGUGCCUGAGGAAGUAUCAGUAUCAGAUUAAGAUGAAUGGAUGUAAAUUCCCCAGUUGAAUCGUGAAGCCUUUUUUUCAGUUAUUUGAGCAUAUUCACGGGGUACUCUGUUUUAGUGUCUCUUGUAGAGAAAAGGAGAAUUUUGGAUAGUCUACCUACAGUGUAAGUUAUUCUUCUCUUUGGCACCGUGCGUUUCUUUAAUGGUAAUCUGCCUUUUAUGAACUUACUAGGCAUGGUCUUAUCCAGUUCUCUAGUUUUACGGAAAAAUCCUCACCUAGCAUUUUUGUUAACUAGAUACUGCACUGUUGCCACUCGGUACUACUACAAAUACUUGGCUUAACGUUUUUCAUUUUAAGUGCAUUUCACCCAUAUACUAUGAUGUAACAGAAAAAAGAUACGUGUUUGUGCGUGCAUAUGCAUAUACAUACAUACACACACAAAUAUCUGUGACUAGUAAGUGUCCUUAUUGGCCAGUUAUGCGAAAUGAGCAGCUAAGAGGGUUUCAUUUCUGAUAUCAAAUGACCAACUAUAGGUUGCUACUGAUGGUUUUAGAAGAAAGAGUGAGGUAACUUACUAAGAAAACUGGCAUGCUUCCUAGUCAGAAGUUGCUGCCUUAAGGAUGCAGAAAGGUAUAUAUUAAUCUAAAGAAUAUUUGAAAAUAAAUGUGUCUUCAAAACUAGCACACCUCUUUCCUCCAGGGCUCCUGCUGUAGGUCAUUUUGCUAUGGUUAUUCAGGGGGUUGUAAAUUUUGGGAAAGGGCUGUCCUCUGUACCUUCUACAGAGUAACUCAAGUUCCAGGUGCUUAACAAAAAAACGCACAUCCUUGCUGAGGCACUUAAGUGUCAUGGCCAGCAAUCUUUAUCUAAUGUUAGUGAUCUCUGAGGAAACACAAUAGCUCCUUGUGGGUUUUGACUGGUACAUAGGCAACAGAAAAAGCAGCCAAUGCACAGAAUUGAUGACCUAGCGGCUAGUCUCAUUAAGUCAGAUUGUACCCUGAUUUACUUACUCUGAAACCUUAAUGGUCUCAGUGAGGUUAGAAUUCACAGUGUGUACCAUCAGCCUAACUGUGAAAGCAGAAAAUUUGCACUACUGUCAAGCAGAUGUAGUUCUUCCUAAUGAACUAACUAAUGGAGGGUAAAAAUAGGAAGUAAUGCUAAGCUUGUGUCUGCUGGCACUUGCUCCAGGAAAUGAUACAGAAGUCUUCCUUAAAUAACAGUAGGCCUAUGUCUCACAAAAGCUGGAGAAAGACCAAUUGCAUGGGACAGCCUGCAUUUUGACCUAAACCGAGAGCGCAUACCAAGUCCUCAUUUUGUAGAAGUAUGAAGAGUGAAGUUACACACUCCCUACAAACGGAAAUGAAGGAAAUACUGUAAACUGGUAAGUGCCAUAGCGCUGGACUGAAUCAUCACAGGCAAAAGCUCUAGAAAUUACAGGGUUUUUUUCUGCAAAAUACUUAAAAUGAGGACAAAAAUUGUGACCAUUAACCUAUUAUUUGUGAUUUGAUGAUGCUUUAUUCAGAUUGGCCACAUGUCUUUUUCUUUGUGGGUUGUAGUUUAUUGACAUAAUCAACUGAAAUGGCUCUUCUGGAGCCAUUACAAUUUGUUGUGUUAGUGCAGCUGAAAACACUUCACCAUACCAUGUGUCAUGCUUUGUCAAGUUAACAGUUGAUGUUUCCAAAUCAGGAUUAGGAACAGUGCUGAUGCAGUGCAAUGCAGCAAUUGCUUGUGCAACAUAAGCAUGCAUGAAAAGCAGCAAACUCUGCUGAAGUAAAGCAGCACUACCUAUUGUUAUUUGUCAGGUGUCCUAGCAGUUUAUUUACCCUAAAGCAUCAAGUGGUCCAUCCCUUUGGUAUCUGAGGUUACUUAAUACCAAAGGAAGAAAAGCAUUCUCAUAUAAACGCUCAUGAACCACUAGUCUGUUUAACAAGCCAAUAAUCUUCAGAAAUUAUAUUAAACUCUUGUCAGCAAUAGGGAAACACAGAUUAAGUGAUGUACCAAAGGAGAUGCAAGAAAUGCAUGGCAAAGUCAGACAGGUAGAGCCAACUCCUGCACAUGAUACAACCAGGAGUUCACCUCACCAGGUAGUGCUAAGGUUUAUAUAGCCCCGUUAGUACAUCUCUCUGCCCAGUAAAUCCACACUGGGACAGCAAUGAAGCUAAAACUGAACUUCCUCUUUAGGACUAUUUUAUUCUCUGAUUUGUAUAUGUGAUAGGCUUAUGUGUGAACAUCUCUAGAAUUGUUACAUUGAUGCUGAAAUGGGUAAAUGGAUGGUGAACCUGUGCACGAACAAUAGCGAUACCUUGUUGAUGACAGAAAAUAGCAAUAUGAAAAAAUUGUGAUUUUCAGUUACUGCCAGUUACUGUCAGAUCUGUAGAACUGCUGAAUGGAAAUAAAGGUAUUGAUAUUGAAGAA